UAACUGCUGUUUGAACGCUGUACUGUAGAAGGCACAGACUGAGAUGCUGGAUCAACUGCGCAUGCCUGUCUUUGUGACCGGCUGCUAUCGAUCCUUCCGAGCCCGUGUGCCACGCUGGAAAGCUGCAUCUAAGAGUUAAGAUUUACUGGCUUAAAAGCGUGUGUGUCGUGGGAUUGCGCGGUGGCUCAGUAAGUAAGUGCUUGCCUUGCACACACAAAGACCUAACUGUUCAAUGUGCAGCUCCUAUGUUUAAAAAUCUAGUUGAGCAUUGUGGCACACACUUAUAAUCUCAGCUCUAAAGAAGCAAAGACCGUGGCUCCCUGGGGCUCACUGGUAGCCAGCAGCCAAACUGGUGAGUUGCAGGUAAAAGUGAGAGUUUUUUUUUUUUUUCUCACAAAACAUGAUGGAUUAUGAGGAACUACAGUUGAGAUUGUCCUCUGGUCUCCACAGACACAUAUGUACUCAUACCUAUACAUAGUCAUGCACCUGCAAACACACACACACACACACACACACACACACACACACACACACACACACUCACACACACACACUCACACACACACUCACAUACACUCACAUAUACACUCACAUACACACACACUAACAUAUACACACACUCACACACACUCACAUACACACACUCACAUACACACACACACUCACACAUACUCACACACACUCACACACACACACUCACAUACACACACUCACACACACACACUCACACACACACUCACAUACACACACUCACAUACACACACACACCAACAUACACACACACUCACACACACUCACAUACACACACACACACACACUCACAUACACACACUCACGUGCAUGCACACAGGUCGAACUGACAUCCUAGCAGGCUCCUGGGCGAUGCAGAUGCUGGCAUUCUGGGCACUGCCCUUUGGAAAGCUAUGAUGACCACUGAAGCAGAACAGACCAAAGCAAAGAGGUGGGAAAGUCGCGAGAAGAUACAGGACUGGCUGGGAUACAUCAGGAAGAGGAGCUGCGAUGGAUGGGACUUCAAAUGGAAGUUGGUGAUUAUAUCCGUCCCAGCACCUCCCGCCUUGCAAGAGAGGCCUUAUAAAUCCUGGUCACAAGGAAGGGAAACAGAAGCUCAAGGAAGAGAGAGCCAUGGCUUCCUAGGUGUCAGUGAAGACCCAGACGCUGAAACUAUAACCGCCUAGUUCAGAAACCUAUACUUUGCUUGACCACAAUCCAAGCAGGGGGUGGGGAUGGGAUGUUUUUCUGCAGGGCUGGACAUAGAGUCAGUGUUCAGAGCACAUUGUUGGAGAGAGGAAGGAUGGGUGAGUGAAUAAGUGAAGAAAUGAAUGAGAGAACAGAACCACUUUGAGAGCCUGGAAACCGGGACCUCACGCUCUGUGACCUCACGCUCCAACUUCCCCUCCUCCCCGAGUCUGAUCUGAAAGGUGACCCCCGUUCCUCUCGCCCAGGUGAUAAAGCCAGGUGCAGGUGCACCUGUUACCCAAACCUGAUAUCCAAAUAGGAAGUAAGGCUGAGAUAAGGCUGUGGAGGGCAGUGCCUGGAAUCACGGGGUUGGGCUGGCCAUUGGCUUGAUGCCACAAGUGUCCACCGAGCCUCUCCUAAAGGUUGAGCUCUAUGCCAGGUUCCUUCAGGGUGAGGCAGGAAGCCACGCAGCUCCUGACCUCCAACAGCUUAUGGAAAAAAAAAAUACUUACAAACAGGAUGUGGGUCGGGCAAAGGGAGAAGUGUGAAGCAGGUGG
rnacentral:lncRNA from 1 species